GUGAAUAACGUGUUGGUCUUCGCUUCGGCAAGGCCAUCACACCCCUCACAUCCAUAACACCUGUGAACUGUAAGAUGUGGUGAAUUUGUUUGCCCAUCUGCCCUUUUUAUAAACAUUUGUAGUAACAAAAGUAGUCUUAUUAUAAUCUAAUA
rnacentral:misc_RNA from 1 species